rnacentral:rRNA from 1 species
GAUGAACGCUGGCGGCGUGCCUAAUACAUGCAAGUCGAGCGAACAGACGAGGAGCUUGCUCCUCUGACGUUAGCGGCGGACGGGUGAGUAACACGUGGAUAACCUACCUAUAAGACUGGGAUAACUUCGGGAAACCGGAGCUAAUACCGGAUAAUAUAUUGAACCGCAUGGUCCAAUAGUGAAAGACGGUUUUGCUGUCACUUAUAGAUGGAUCCGCGCCGCAUUAGCUAGUUGGUAAGGUAACGGCUUACCAAGGCGACGAUGCGUAGCCGACCUGAGAGGGUGAUCGGCCACACUGGAGCUGAGACACGGUCCAGACUCCUACGGGAGGCAGCAGUAGGGAAUCUUCCGCAAUGGGCGAAAGCCUGACGGAGCAACGCCGCGUGAGUGAUGAAGGUCUUCGGAUCGUAAAACUCUGUUAUUAGGGAAGAACAAAUGUGUAAGUAACUAUGCACGUCUUGACGGUACCUAAUCAGAAAGCCACGGCUAACUACGUG